GGGUUGUGAGGUUAAGCGACUAAGCGUACACGGUGGAUGCCCUGGCAGUCAGAGGCGAUGAAGGACGUGCUAAUCUGCGAUAAGCGCCGGUAAGGUGAUAUGAACCGUUAUAACCGGCGAUUUCCGAAUGGGGAAACCCAGUGUGACUCGUCACACUAUCAUUAACUGAAUCCAUAGGUUAAUGAGGCGAACCGGGGGAACUGAAACAUCUAAGUACCCCGAGGAAAAGAAAUCAACCGAGAUUCCCCCAGUAGCGGCGAGCGAACGGGGAUGAGCCCAGAGCCUGAAUCAGCAUGUGUGUUAGUGGAAGCGUCUGGAAAGGCGCGCGAUACAGGGUGACAGCCCCGUACACAAAAGCGCAUAUGCUGUGAGCUCGAUGAGUAGGGCGGGACACGUGGUAUCCUGUCUGAAUAUGGGGGGACCAUCCUCCAAGGCUAAAUACUCCUGACUGACCGAUAGUGAACCAGUACCGUGAGGGAAAGGCGAAAAGAACCCCGGCGAGGGGAGUGAAAAAGAACCUGAAACCGUGUACGUACAAGCAGUGGGAGCCCCACCACUAAGCCAGUGGUGAACUCCACAUACGCAUCCUUUGCUGAGGAUGCGGUUAACGGAGCGAAAGCGACGUUCAACCGCAAAAGAAGCAGAGGGGGCU
rnacentral:rRNA from 1 species